rnacentral:rRNA from 1 species
UACGGGGGGGGUAAGCGUUGUUCGGAAUUACUGGGCGUAAAGGGCUCGUAGGCGGCCAACUAAGUCACACGUGAAAUCCCUCAGCUUAACUGGGGAACUGCGUGUGAUACUGGAUGGCUUGGAUCCGGGAGAGGGAUGCGGAAUUCCAGGUGUAGCGGUGAAAUGCGUAGAUAUCUGGAGGAACACCGGUGGCGAAGGCGGCAUCCUGGACCGGUAUUGACGCUGAGGAGCGAAAGCCAGGGGAGCAAACGGG